rnacentral:rRNA from 1 species
CUCUGAUGCACCCAUGCCGCGUGUGUGAAGAAGGCCCGAGGGUUGUAAAGCACUUUCAAUGGUGAGGAAAAGAUAAAGGUUAAUACCCUUUAUGCGUGACGUUAGCCAUACAAGAAGCACCGGCUAACUCUGUGCCAGCAGCCGCGGUAAUACAGAGGGUGCAAGCGUUAUUCGGAAUUACUGGGCGUAAAGCGCGCGUAGGCGGAUUGUUAAGUCAGUUGUGAAAGCCCAGGGCUCAACCUUGGAAUGGCAUCUGAUACUGGCAGUCUAGAGUUUAGAAGAGGAAAGCGGAAUUUCUAGUGUAGCAGUGAAAUGCGUAGAUAUUAGAAGGAACAUCAGUGGCGAAGGCGGCUUUCUGGUCUAAAACUGACGCUGAGGUGCGAAAGCGUGGGUAGCGAACGGGAUUAGAUACCCCGGUAGUCCAUGCCGUAAACGAUGUCAACUAGUUGUGGGUCUUAUUAAAAAGAUUCGUAACGAAGCUAACGCGAUAAGUUGACCGCCUGGGGAGUACGGUCGCAAGAUUAAA